rnacentral:rRNA from 1 species
GACGAACGCUGGCGGCGUGCUUAACACAUGCAAGUCGAACGGAAAGGCCCUGCUUUUGUGGGGUGCUCGAGUGGCGAACGGGUGAGUAACACGUGAGUAACCUGCCCUUGACUUUGGGAUAACUUCAGGAAACUGGGGCUAAUACCGGAUAGGAGCUCCUGCUGCAUGGUGGGGGUUGGAAAGUUUCGGCGGUUGGGGAUGGACUCGCGGCUUAUCAGCUUGUUGGUGGGGUAGUGGCUUACCAAGGCUUUGACGGGUAGCCGGCCUGAGAGGGUGACCGGCCACAUUGGGACUGAGAUACGGCCCAGACUCCUACGGGAGGCAGCAGUGGGGAAUAUUGCACAAUGGGCGGAAGCCUGAUGCAGCAACGCCGCGUGCGGGAUGACGGCCUUCGGGUUGUAAACCGCUUUCGCCUGUGACGAAGCGUGAGUGACGGUAAUGGGUAAAGAAGCACCGGCUAGCUACG